GAUGAACGCUGGCGGCGUGCCUAAUACAUGCAAGUCGAGCGAACAGACGAGGAUCUUGCUCCUCUGACGUUAGCGGCGGACGUGUGAGUAACACGUGUAUAACCUACCUAUAUUACUGGUAUAACUUCGGGAAACCGGAGCUAAUAGCGUAUAAUAUAUUGAACCGCAUGGGUCAAUAGUGAAAUACGGUUUUUCUGUCACGUAUAGAUGGAUCCGCGCCGUAUUGGAUAGUUGGUAAGGUAACGGCUUAACAAGGGUACGAUGCGUAGCCGAAGUGAGGGGGUGAUAGGCCACACUGGAAGGUGGACAGCGUCCAGACUACUACGGGAGGCAGCAGUAGGGAAUGUUCCGCAAUGGGCGAAAGUCUGACGGAACAACGGCGCGUGAGUGAUGAAGGUCUUCGGAUCGUAAAACUCGGUUACUAGGGAAGAACAACUGUGUAAGUAAAUAUGGAGGUAUUGACGGUAACUAAUAAGAAAGCAACGGCUAACUACGUG
rnacentral:rRNA from 1 species